rnacentral:lncRNA from 1 species
UUGGUGCUUGAACAUACAGGGGAUUUAGUUUCACAAAGAUGGAAAUGAAGAAAAAACUAUGGGAAUAGUAGUGGCUGUGAAAGAAUAUAGAAAGCCAAAAUGAGAUAACGAUUAAAAAACAAAGAUUAACAAUAAUAAAGGAAAGGUCUUUGAGAAAAAAAAAACAUUGAAAUACGAUUCAAAAUCGAUUAAAAGUGGAAACCAUGGUUACUAAAAAACAAAAUCACUCCAUUCACGAUUUAAACCUCAAAAACCCUACAAUGAAAAAUCCAAUGCGUAAAAAAAAUGAAAAAUGAAAAGAUCUUACCUCAGUUCUUGAACAUACAGGGGAUUUAGUUUCAGAAAGAUGGAAAUGAAAAAAAAACUAUGUGAAGCGGAGGGUGUGAAAGAAAAUAGAAAGGCAAAAUGAAAUGAGAAACAAACAAAAUGAGUGACAAAGAGCAGAGAGAGAUAAAGCAAAAAAAAAGGUGCGUCGGAAGAAAUG